AUUGAACGCUGGCGGCAGGCCUAACACAUGCAAGUCGAACGAGUGGCGGACGGGUGAGUAAUGUCUUGGAAACUGCCUGAUGGAGGGGGAUCACUACUGGAAACGGUAGCUAAUACCGCAUAGCAUAAGAUGUGCCAAUAUGGGAUUAGCUUGUUGGUGGGGUAACGGCUCACCAAGGCGACGAUCCCUAGCUGGUCUGAGAGGAUGACCAGCAACACGGGAACUGAGACAGGGUACAGACUCCGACGCGAGCAAGCAGUGGGGAAUAGUGCACAAUGGGCGCAAGCAUGAUGCAGCAAUGCCGCGUGUAUGAAGAAGGCCUUCGGGUUGUAAAGCACUUUCAGCGGGGAGGCGUUACCCGCAGAAGAAGCACCGGCUAACUCCGUGCCAGCAGCCGCGGUAAUAC
rnacentral:rRNA from 1 species